AUUGAACGCUGGCGGCAGGCCUAACACAUGCAAGUCGAGUGAGCGGCGGACGGGUGAGUAAUGUAUGGGGACUGCCCGAUAGAGGGGGAUAACUACUGGAAACGGUGGCUAAUACCGCAUACUAUCGGAUAACCCAUAUGGGAUUAGCUAGUAGGUGGGGUAAAGGCUCACCUAGGCGACGAUCUCUAGCUGGUCUGAGAGGAUGAUGAGCAACAUCGGGACUGAGAAACGGCCCAGACUGCUACGGAGGCAGCAGUGGGGAAUAUGGCACAAUGGGGGCAAGCCUAAUGCGGCCAGGCCGCGUGUAUGACGAAGGCCUUAGGGUUGUAAAGUACUUUCAGCGGGGAGGCGUUACCCGCAGAAGAAGCACCGGCUAACUCCGUGCCAGCAGCCGCGGUAAUUC
rnacentral:rRNA from 1 species